rnacentral:rRNA from 1 species
CCUACGGGAGGCAGCAGUGAGGAAUAUUGGUCAAUGGGCGAGAGCCUGAACCAGCCAAGUCGCGUGAGGGAGUACUGCCCUAUGGGUUGUAAACCUCUUUUGUCGGGGAGCAAAAGCCGGACGUGUCCGGCUGUGAGAGUAACCGAAGAAAAAGCAUCGGCUAACUCCGUGCCAGCAGCAGCGGUAAUACGGAGGAUGCGAGCGUUAGCCGGAUUUAAUGGGUUUAAAGGGUGCGCAGGCGGAUUUUUAAGUCAGCGGUCAAAUCGUGGGGCUCAACCCCAUCCAGCCGUUGAAACUGGGGAUCUAGAGUGUGCGAGAGGUAUGCGGAAUGCGUGGUGUAGCGGUGAAAUGCAUAGAUAUCACGCAGAACCCCGAUUGCGAAGGCAGCAUACCGGUGCACAACUGACGCUGAGGCUCGAAAGCAUGGGUAGCGAACAGGAUUAGAUACCCGAGUAGUC